UAUAUCUGUGAAUGAUGUUUAGCUCCACUCUGGGUAGGUAUAUUUGGAACAUGAUGGUUCUAUGUAUCUCUGCUCAAAAUAGGAGAAUAGUAAAUGGCUCUGCUCACUCCCUGUCGAAUAGGAACAUUGUCUAAACCAGUGGUAUUGUUCUCCCCCUUCCAGCCAGUCUCGGCCCCUUAACAUCCACCGGACAAUACACGAAAAACGGUCAGUCUUUCUUAUUCCACCUCAAUUUUAUCAGACGUUUAGAGUUUAGUGGAUGUUACAAGGCAAUUUAAAUCAUGUACAAACGUACCCUUCCGAAUAUUUAGGUUUCAUACAGUUUCAGUAAUGUAAAAGCAUAUAAUCAGGACUCGACCUCUGAAAGCAGUUAUUUUAACUUUUUUUUUAUUCCGUUAUGACUGUAGGUG